rnacentral:rRNA from 1 species
CCUACGGGGGGCUGCAGUGGGGAAUAUUGGACAAUGGGGGCAACCCUGAUCCAGCCAUGCCGCGUGUGUGAAGAAGGCCCUCGGGUUGUAAAGCACUUUCAGUGAGGAAGAACGCCUGGUGGUUAAUACCCAUCAGGAAAGACAUCACUCACAGAAGAAGCACCGGCUAACUCCGUGCCAGCAGCCGCGGUAAUACGGAGGGUGCGAGCGUUAAUCGGAAUUACUGGGCGUAAAGCGCGCGUAGAUGGCUUGAUAAGCCGGUUGUGAAAGCCCCGGGCUCAACCUGGGAACGGCAUCUGGAACUGUCAAGCUAGAGUGCAGGAGAGGAAGGUAGAAUUCCCGGUGUAGCGGUGAAAUGCGUAGAGAUCGGGAGGAAUACCAGUGGCGAAGGCGGCCUUCUGGACUGACACUGACACUGAGGUGCGAAAGCGUGGGUAGCAAACAGGAUUAGAUACCCGAGUAGUC